CUUCUACAGCCCAGCACAGAAACUACAGCCCUGAGGGGAGGGUGGGAGACAGCAGCCAUGUGCCUCAAGAAAGAGGGUGUUUGCACUUCCACAGGCACUCACCUGCCAUCUGACCUCUCCAGGGUAACUUGACUUUUCCUCCAACGAAUGUCAUUUAAGAGACCCUGCUGAGCAAGAAUUGAAUCUGAAUACAAAAGCUUAAAGCUCACUUUCUUUAUACCACUAUCAACAUGGUCCUGCUUAUUUCAAACAGCUCAAACUGAGUGUUUCACAGAAAAUUUUUUUUUCCUGUGUCUGGAUUAAGGUAAAAAUGCAUCAGGAAGUAGAAUUGAUGAGAAAUAUAGAUGUUGUUUGUACAAGAGUCAAAGCAGUAUUUCUGACUGCACUAAGUACCACAAUAGUAUUUUCUAAAACAAUGGUUCAAAAGUUACAGGCAAAUGAAAGAGCAUUUGGAGUUUUGGCUACCUGACCUGGUUGUUUGAUAGACACAGGAACCUGUUUUGCCAGCAGAACAAAACCACCAAUUCUACUAACAUUUGAAGCUCCUUUUGAUAUUCAUCUGUAACAGUAAAGAUCACAUGUUGCUGUUUUAAUGAUUUUCUAUAGAAUCUAGACAUCUCAGUGCCCUAGCAGGGUGAUAACUAGUUCAUCCUCACAAUGCUGAACCUACAAUGUCAGACUACAGUUGUUUGUUUUUCUUAACAGAGCACAUAGUUUCUAAAUGUUUGCUUAAAUCUCUGGGGUUCUACUAUUCCGUCUUGACCAGGAAUACAAAAAUUUAAAGCUGUCAAAGAAAACAAUGAAAAGCAAGCAGCAGGUAAGUAUAGGUUCUAGAGCAGUUUGACACCGUGCCAACUCCUUGUUUGUUUUUGUAAAUAUACUGGCUUUUGGUACCUGAGAUUACUUGUCCAUAGAGUAUUGGCUACCUGCAUAAUUCCUUUCAUUAGUCUUACUUAUAUGAAAACUUUUUUUUUUUUUUUUUUUUUUCAGCCAGGAUAUGUCACCUCAUCUGGGUGUUAAAAAGUUUGCUUUUCUCUAAGUAAAAUGGAGCAUAUACAGCAAAAUGUAAACUGAGCACCUUCUACUAGAGGCAAAUGUACAUUAAAAAAUUCAAGCAUUACAAUUAAAUUACAUUUCUGAAGUCUGGCUUAUAGUGUUUCCACUGACAAUGUCAAGUGCUUAGGCUUAUGGCAUCACCAUUAAAUUAUGACACUUACCUGCAUGAAUUGUCGUAGUUAUUAAGACUGAAUUGCUAAGAAACCACUGUGGAUCUCCUAGGUUGGUCUACUGUAUUAUACAUAGGAGGGAUUUCAGAAAUGGCUGCUUCAGGUCUCAUAGUCCAAAUUGAAACAAAAUAUGUUUUCCAAAAAAGGGUCCAAUCUUUAUUUAAAUACUUAAAUAGAACCCUUCCAAACCCAGACAGUUUUUUUUUUCUGGGGACAGUCACCAACUGUCUGCAGAGCUGGCUGAAAUUCUGCCCCACAGCAAACAAGCUCAUUAUGACCAAAACAGUCAGUGUAUCUUAAACAACUAUUGCUUUGUUAUUGCAAAGACUUUUCUCCUCUCCUUUGCAAGAUGAAGUUUUGACAAGACUACAAUACUGGUUACAGUAUUUUGCUAGUUAGCAAAUCAUAAUUUACAAUGUUGAAGAACUUCAAGGACAUUUCAUUCUGGCUUUGUGAAUCUUUUGUUUAAGUUACUGACUUGAAAUCCCUCACAGUGUUCCUGAUUUUUCUCCCUGCACGUUACCAACAGCUGUUUAUGUACUGGUGGUCAUGUUUACCAAAGUGAUAUACUGCUCUGUGGCAAAUAUCAACAUGCAAGGCUCUUUCUGCCUUCACAGAGCAGAUGUAACCAUGGAUAUUUAUUUUCAAGCUGUUAGUAACUUGGAGAGAACUGGUCACAUGCUCUCGGCCACACGGUGUGACUCUUGGGGAUGUUCUGUGCGUGGCUGAGAGUUGGACUUGAUGGCUCUGCAGGUCACUUCCAACCCAGCACAUCCUGUGCUUCUGUGAUUUGAUGUUUGACACACAGAGACCUACACAAUUUCCCUUUUUGCCUUCUUUGUAUUUCUUCAGCAGGCUGUGGGAUGCUGUUAGUCUAACCAUCCAAAUCAUCCCACAGGUCUGAAAAACACCAAGGAGCUAGAAUUUAUGUUCUUAAAGCUGUAAUUCCUCUUUGUUAUUUCUUUGUUUCCUUUAUACUCCUUGGCAUCUGGGUUAGUCCUUGUUCUUGACAUCCUGAGUUAAGGUGAAAUUGGUGCUAAUUUUCACUUUUUUGCCAGGAUGCAAUGGAAACUGGGACAGGGGAGGAAAGAGUCAGGAGUGUCCCCAGCACUGGCUGUGCUGCACCAACAAUUCACAUCCCACGGGGACUGACUGUGAAUGGGUUUAAUCGUUCUCUGAUUACAGAGGCACAGAGGAAGCUUCAAAGUAGUCUCAAUAUUCCCCUGCUUCCCACACUCCUCCGAGGUCAUGGGCUAUCCAGAAGGGUCAUGACACACAGCACACCACCAGCACAGCCUCUUUCCCAGCUCAAAAUACAUUCAACCCUGCCUCAGGCAGCCCUGAGAACCUCUGAGCACUCUCUACUCUCUGCUCAUCUCAUAUGGGAUGAUUUGCUUUGCCCUUUCUAGCAGAACUGCUUGACUGGCAGCAGUCCUCAGCCCCAUUCUGAGUGUCCAGUCAGUAUCCGUGCUGGGCACCUCGUGUACAUCUGGCAAGGCAGAUGCUCUGCUCUCCUCUCCCCAUGGCUGAUUGUGUCCCAUCUCACAAGCAUACCUGGUCAGCAGUACAGCCAGCACUCAGCCUUACUCCUGUUUAAUUUAACUGCUCAGUUGUCACAUAUGAAGGUUAAUCUCAGGCCUUAUUGGGCAGAUCCAUCAGAUCUGCUACAUUUGAUCUGGUCAGGUCUUUUUAUUCCACUGUAUGGAUGACAUCCGUAUCCAAAAGCCUUCUGAAAUAAAAGGCUUAGAUUUAUUAUGUAAAUAUGUAUUACACCAAAAUAUUCAUGGAGAGAGGCUUUCCAGAAAAAGACACAAAAAAUUUCCUUUGAAAAGCACCUUAUGAUAAAAUGCUAUUUCCCUCUGGUGCCAUAUGAAAGCUGGCCUGGCUACACACCUUUUCUUUUUCCUAAAUAUUCAUCAUGGAAUUGCUCUAUUUGAAAAGAGAAUUUCUGGGUUUCUAAAAAGAAACCCAGAUCAGCUUCAAUAUUACUAGUUGAUACCAGUUUGUAACCACUGAAAAUAUGUCUUUCCUAGUCAUCCCAUAUGGAAGAACCAAUAGUCCAAUAUUCUUGCUGUCAUGGGAAUUUCCAAAAGAACAAGAUUAGUACAAAAAAAAAUUUCUCUCCUGAUUUUCAGCUUUUUACGCCCUAUUCAUAAAAUAGUUCUAAAGAUACUCUUCAUGAACUAGAGAGGUUGCAGCAAUAAACCUCUCCUUAUCCUAUCUGACCCAAGUGGCAGGACUGGCAUGUGUUUGUGUUCCUUAAAAGCACGAAGGCAGAGAACAUACCUCCCAGAUUUUGGCAGAGUGCCCUGCAUACCAUGGGCGUGUGUCUCAUUAGCUUUCCAGGAGCCAAACAUCAGUAAAUGUCAUCAGAGGAAAAUUACAUACCUGACUAAACAGUUCCAGUCACCUGCUGCUUCGAGGAAGGCUUUGUGCUUAUCGAAAAGAGACAAAUUCAACUCUCUUUUAGGACAAAACAACAUUUAAGUACAGAAGGUGUUGCUUGAGCUGUUACCCGUCCGUGCAGGAUCUUCACUGAACAUAAUACUGCUCUAACUAGUCUCAGCUGCUCAGGGCAUCACAGAACACCUCUGGACAAAGCAGUGAGUUUCCCUUCCCAUUCCCAUUCAUAGGCAAGUGGCUGUUGAGGAAAGAUCAUGGACCUGAGAUAGAGAGUUUACCAGUGUGGAGAGAGAGGACACUUUGCUGUGCAGAAGCAACUCAUACAUGUAUGGAUGGCCAGGAGGAUAAGGACCUGAAGAGAGCUGAGCAAAGGAGGGGUUGAAAGACAGUCCUGUAACUAGACAGAUUCCAUAACCAUCAAGUCCCCUCUGCAAUACUCCUCUACAGUGCUGUGUUUUAUUAUCUGGCAUGGCUAACUUACUGGGAUGGGCUGAUGGAGGAGAAUAGGCACUACCAAGCAGUGAUGCCAGCUCCACAUCUUCUGAGAGUACUCCUGUGUAAAAAUUCCCACAUGCAUUUACUCAGGGGCACAAAGAGGGGACUGGGAAGCCAACUCUAACUGCGCUUCCUAAAAUGGAGAACUCUGCUCUUUUCAGGAGGUAAUAGUCGUUCUGUGAGAUAAACAAGAUAUAUUUCCCUGAUUGUUCCUGUCUUGACAAAUGUAGCCCUUCUUGGAAU